AAAAGCCGAUCAAGCCCGCCGAAAUGCGCUCGCUGCUGUCGUUCCUGCUGGCUUAGAGCGGGACGAACCGACAUUGAAUCGUCAUUGCGAGCGAAGCGAAGCAAUCUACCUUUAAGGAGAAUGGAUUGCUUCGUCGCAAGCGCUCCUCGCAAUGACGACGUUGCAUUACUUCUGAACCUAAAUUCAUCCCGCUCCAGAGCGCGAUGCCUUCAGCCUGAUCCGUCAUGCCCGGGC
rnacentral:misc_RNA from 1 species